rnacentral:rRNA from 1 species
CUGCCCAGUGAACAAUUAAACGGCCGCGGUACCCUAACCGUGCAAAGGUAGCAUAAUCAUUUGUCUAUUAAUUGUAGACCUGUAUGAAAGGCAAAAUGAGGGUUUAACUGUCUCUUAUAGUAACUCUAUUAAACUGAUCUCCUAGUAAAAAAGCUAGAAUAAUAACAUAAGACCAGAAGACCCUGUGAAGCUUGAACUAAACUAUUAAACCAAAUAAUAACUACUUUCGGUUGGGGCGACCUUGGAAACAAAAAGAACUUCCAAAUACAAGUACUCUUACUCUUACAAAAGGCCUACAAGCCACCUAACGACCCAGUUAAAACUGAUAAUUGAACAAAGUUACUCCAGGGAUAACAGCGCUAUCUUCUUCAAGAGCCCAUAUCAAAAAGAAGGUUUACGACCUCGAUGUUGGAUCAGGACACCCCAAUGGUGCAGCCGCUAUUAAAGGUUCGUUUGUUCAACGACUAAUGUCCUACGUGAUCUGAGUUCAAACCGGAG